rnacentral:misc_RNA from 1 species
CUGAACGUGCAAGUUUGACCCCAUUUUUUCCGCGAAAUCGUACGAAAACGCGGAAAAAUUCUGGUGCGCCCGCCUGGACGCUCUAAUUAUCGUGCAAGCGUAAACUCGUUAGAAAUCUGAAUGGAAAAAAUGUUGUUUACGACUGUUGCGUCGCGAAACGAGUACGCAUGCGUUCCUUCUCCUACCAUGUAGCAUCUUUCAAUUUUUUUCGUUUAUAUAAAGUCGGACAUCGUGCGUGAACAUAUAAAAUAUAUAUCGAAUAGAACAACAGAUUAAUACAACCCCGUAAAUACGAUAAAAUGUCGGCUAUUGUUCAGUUAAAAGCUUUUCGUAAGAACAUUAUCUUAUCACAUCGAUCAAUUUGCAUGGGGCGUCCACGAUUAAUUUCUGAUAAAGAUUUACAGAAACUGAAAUUAAAGCAAGCAAGAAUGCAGGUCUAACUGAUUUUGAUAUAAAUAUAAAAUGACGUGAUGUAUGAUAAUUAAAUGAACUCCGUGUAAUUUAUAUAUAAUUAUUUUCCAUUUAUUUAAACAGUGUGAAGAUAAUCUUCCCGUGUAUUUGAAGUGUGGUACACGAGAUAAAGUGGUAUAUUGGAUCAUUGUAGCAUUUACUGUGUAUUCCACAAUACAAUCAUUUAAAGGAAUAAAGAUAUUACUCGAGAAAUAUUCAUAGAAUUAUAAGAAACUUAUUGCAAUAAAAAAAUUUAACAUUGAUUAAUUGUGUAAUUUUCUUUAAUAAAAUCUUUAAUUGCAAUUUGGCCGUAUUUGAUUAUCAAUGAUUGAAAUAAUAAUAUUAGGUAUUAAUUUACAGUUUUGAUAUUAAAUCACUUUUACUUAUUGCAAAAUAUUAAUACAUAGUAAGUUAUACAUGUAUACAUAUAAUUUUUUAAUAUUUUACAACAUAUAGAAUUUGGAAGAAACUUUAAGGCACUUGAAUGCUCUGCAAAUACCAAUAUGGAAAUGAAUGUACUUUCUUUUUGUGAUAAGCUCUAUCUGAUGAGAAUAUGAUUAAAGAAAUAAACUUAAGUAACAUAAGAUACGGUAAUGUUUUAGCUACAAUAGGAAAAGCAUAGGAUAUGAGAAAGCAAAAUUUAAAUGCUAGGAUAGAAAAGAGAAAAUAAUGAGACCAUUCUCAUAAGGCAGCUUAGCAAAAUUGUAAACAGUCAAGGAUGAAUAAUAGAAUUAUGCCCUUCUUUUUAAACAUGCAUUGGUAAAUAUUAGUUUUAUAUCAAAUAAUAUAAUAUAUAGAUAAAUAUGUCAACAUCUAAAUAUAUAAAAAAUUAAUAAGAUAUUUUUACAAUACACAAAACAAUUACUAUAUACAUACAUGUUAAUAUUAAAUAUGUAAACUUCUACUGUUAAAUAUCUAAAUUUCUAAUUUGGAUUUUUGUUUUUAACAAGUAUACAUACAAAAUAACAGUUGUGGCAUCUUUGUGAUAC